UACGUAGGGUGCGAGCGUUAAUCGGAAUUACUGGGCGUAAAGUGUGCGCAGGCGGCUUCGCAAGUCGAGUGUGAAAUCCCCGAGCUUAACUUGGGAAUUGCGCUCGAAACUACGGAGCUGGAGUGUGGCAGAGGAAGGUGGAAUUCCACGUGUAGCGGUGAAAUGCGUAGAGAUGUGGAGGAACACCGAUGGCGAAGGCAGCCUUCUGGGCCAACACUGACGCUCAUGCACGAAAGCGUGGGGAGCAAAUGGG
rnacentral:rRNA from 1 species